rnacentral:rRNA from 1 species
ACACGUAAGUUGCAAGCGUUGUUCGGAAUUAUUGGGCGUAAAGGGCAUGUAGGCGGUUUUUGAAAGCUUGAUGUGAAAUCCCACAGCUUAACUGUGGAACUGCAUUGAGAACUGCAAGACUAGAGUUACUGAAGGGAAACUAGAAUUCCAAGUGUAGGGGUGAAAUCUGUAGAUAUUUGGAAGAAUACCAAUGGCGAAGGCAAGUUUCUGGCAGAUAACUGACGCUGAGGUGCGAAGGUGCGGGGAGC